rnacentral:rRNA from 1 species
UGGGGAAUAUUGCGCAAUGGGCGAAAGCCUGACGCAGCGACGCCGCGUGAGGGAAGAAGGUCCUCGGAUCGUAAACCUCUGUCGGGAGGGAAGAACCUCGUAGAGGCGAACAGGCUCUACGACUGACGGUACCUCCAAAGGAAGCACCGGCUAACUCCGUGCCAGCAGCCGCGGUAAUACGGAGGGUGCAAGCGUUAAUCGGAAUUACUGGGCGUAAAGCGUGCGUAGGCGGCUUCGCAAGCCAGACGUGAAAGCCCUCGGCUCAACCGGGGAACUGCGUUUGGAACUGCUUAGCUUGAGUCCGAGAGAGGGUGGCGGAAUUCCGGGUGUAGGAGUGAAAUCCGUAGAUAUCCGGAGGAACACCGGUGGCGAAGGCGGCCACCUGGAUCGGUACUGACGCUGAGGUACGAAAGCGUGGGGAGCAAACAGG